CUACGGGAUGCAGCAGUGAGGAAUCUUGGACAAUGGGCGAAAGCCUGAUCCAGCGACGCCGCGUGGGUGAAGAAGGCCUUCGGGUUGUAAAGCCCUGUCAGAGGGGACGAAGUUCUGACGGUACCCUCAGAGGAAGCACUGGCUAACUCCGUGCCAGCAGCCGCGGUAAUACGGAGAGUGCAAGCGUUGCUCGGAAUUACUGGGCGUAAAGGGCACGUAGGCGGCCUUGUGUGUUGGGUGUGAAAUCCCGCGGCUCAACCGCGGAACUGCAUCCAAAACUGCAAGGCUAGAGUACGGAAGAGGAAGGCGGAAUUCCCAGUGUAGGGGUGAAAUCCGUAGAUAUUGGGAAGAACACCAGUGGCGAAGGCGGCCUUCUGGGACGAUACUGACGCUGAUGUGCGAAAGCGUGGGGAGCAAACAGGAUUAGAUACCCCGGUAGUC
rnacentral:rRNA from 1 species